rnacentral:rRNA from 1 species
CCUACGGGAGGCAGCAGUGGGGGAUAUUGCACAAUGGGGGGAACCCUGAUGCAGCGACGCCGCGUGGGUGAAGAAGCGCCUCGGCGCGUAAAGCCCUGUCAGCAGGGAAGAAAAUGACGGUACCUGAAGAAGAAGCCCCGGCUAACUACGUGCCAGCAGCCGCGGGAAUACGGAGGGGGCAAGCGUUAUCCGGAUGGACUGGGGGUAAAGGGGGAGCAGACGGCGAUGCAAGCACGGAGUGAAAGCCCGGGGCCCAACCCCGGGACUGCUCUUGGAACUGCGUGGCUGGAGUGCAGGAGGGGCAGGCGGAAUUCCUGGUGUAGCGGUGAAAUGCGUAGAUAUCAGGAGGAACACCGGUGGCGAAGGCGGCCUGCUGGACUGCAACUGACGUUGAGGCCCGAAAGCGUGGGGAGCAAACAGGAUUAGAUACCCGGGUAGUC